AUUAAUUAUUAUUUAUCGAGAUAAUUGCCUAAGAAGUUUGUGAAACCGAAAUUUAAGCAAUAUUAAUCUUUGCUCAAUAUCUAUAAAAAAAAAAUGGAAAAAAGUUAUGUUUAUACAAAGGCGCUUGCAAGUUACCAAUUUAUGUGUUCACAAAGGACCUUUGCAUUUUAAAAUUUAAACAAGAAUUUGUCCCCAGUACACGGAUGCCCCACUCGCACUAUCAUUUUCAAUGUUCAUUAGACCGUGAAAUUGGGAUAAAAACUCUUUUUUGGCAUGAAAAUUAGAAAGAUCAUGUCAUAGGGAACAUGUGUACUUAAGAACAACUUACAGAUAUUUUUACAACAAAACAAUUGAGGAAAAACAAAUAUGACAGACAAUAAAAUAAACAACAAACAACCGAACUACAGGCUCUUGACUUAGGACAGGCAAAUAAUGAAUGUGUUUGGGUAGCCUACUGUUUUCGUCGUUUGCAUAAAUGUUUUGUUUUAUAUCAUUUAAACAUUAUUUUCAUU
rnacentral:lncRNA from 1 species